GUGCACACAUGUGGACAUAUCCUGUUUGGGACAGGAACCACACUGGACAUAGAGCUGCAGUUGGAGCCAGUGACUGUGGCUCUGUCAGUCCUGUUGUGUGUCUGUGUGCUCGUGAUCAUCGUCCUCUGUGUGAAGAGAGGGAGGCUCUGUGCACACUGCAGAGAUUCUCCAGAUAAUAUUAAUAGUACACAGUGUGAGAUGUCAGAAAAUAUGG